GACAGAGGUCCCAAGCGUUAGGCGGAAUCACUGGGCUUAAAGCGUGUGUAGGCGGAUGCCUAAGUACCUUGUGAAAUCCCACGGCUCACCCGUGGAACUGCUUGGUAUACUGGGUGUCUUGAGCCACUUAGGGGCUACCGGAACAAAUGGUGGAGCGGUGAAAUGCGUAGAUAUCAUUUGGAACGCCAAUGGUGAAAACAGGUAGCUGGGAGUGUGCUGGCGCUGAGACACGAAAGCCAGGGGAGCAAACGGG
rnacentral:rRNA from 1 species